UACGUAGGGGGCAAGCGUUGUCCGGAAUUAUUGGGCGUAAAGCGCGCGCAGGCGGCCUUGUAAGUCUGUUGUUUAAACUCGGGGCUCAACCCCGAGUCGCAAUGGAAACUGCAAAGCUUGAGUGCAGAAGAGGAAAGUGGAAUUCCACGUGUAGCGGUGAAAUGCGUAGAGAUGUGGAGGAACACCAGUGGCGAAGGCGACUUUCUGGGCUGUAACUGACGCUGAGGCGCGAAAGCGUGGGGAGCAAACAGG
rnacentral:rRNA from 1 species